AUGGUUUAUUGCAGACCACAUAACCUUUUUUACGAUAACCUUCAAAAUAAUAAUUCAUUGUGGUAAUUAUUUAGAAUACGACCCCUCCCU